rnacentral:rRNA from 1 species
AUUGAACGCUGGCGGCAUGCCUUACACAUGCAAGUCGAACGGCAGCACGGGAGCAAUCCUGGUGGCGAGUGGCGAACGGGUGAGUAAUAUAUCGGAACGUGCCCGGUCGUGGGGAUAACGUAGCGAAAGCUACGCUAAUACCGCAUACGAUCUAUGGAUGAAAGCGGGGGAUCGCAAGACCUCGCGCGAUUGGAGCGGCCGAUAUCAGAUUAGCUAGUUGGUGAGGUAAAGGCUCACCAAGGCUACGAUCUGUAGCUGGUCUGAGAGGACGACCAGCCACACUGGAACUGAGACACGGUCCAGACUCCUACGGGAGGCAGCAGUGGGGAAUUUUGGACAAUGGGCGCAAGCCUGAUCCAGCAAUGCCGCGUGCAGGAUGAAGGCCUGGUUGUAAC